CAAAAGCUUGGUCCUGACUUUACCAUCAAUUUUGAUCAAAUUUAUACAUGCAAGUAUCCGCACCCCUGUGAGAAUGCCCUGCAUUUUUCCUACCGGAAAAAAAGGAGCUGGAGUUAGGCACGCCCUGAGGCAGCCCACAAUUCCUUGCUUAGCCACACCCCCAAGGGAGCUCAGCAGUAAUAAACAUUAAGCUAUGAGUGAAAGCUUGACUUAGUUAAGAUCAAGAGGGCCGGUAAAACUCGUGCCAGCCACCGCGGUUAUACGAGAGGCCCAAGUUGAUGGAUGCCGGCGUAAAAUGUGGUUAAUUUACAUUGUUGCACUAAAGCAAAACACCUUCUAAGCUGUUAUAUGCUCUCGAAGACAGGAAGCCCUUUUACGAAAGUAGCUUUAAAUAGUAUGACCCACGAAAGCUAGGGAACAAACUGGGAUUAGAUACCCCACUAUG
rnacentral:rRNA from 1 species